GGGGAUGUAGCUCAAGCAGUAGUGCUCAUGUCUAGCAAGCACAAAGCUGAGUUCAAAUCUCAGUAUCACCA
rnacentral:tRNA from 1 species